rnacentral:sRNA from 12 species
AGACUUGGUCGUAGAGCCACGACCAACUGGGGUAAUCUCCCCUCAAAAAAAGAACGCUCACUGAGA